rnacentral:rRNA from 1 species
AGAGUUUGAUUCCCUGGCUCAGGACGAACGCUGGCGGCGUGCUUAACACAUGCAAGUCGAACGGAAAGGCCCUUCGGGGUACUCGAGUGGCGAACGGGUGAGUAACACGUGGGUGAUCUGCCUCGUACUUUGGGAUAAGCCUGGGAAACUGGGUCUAAUACCGAAUAUGACCUCUGGAUGCAUGUCUGGUGGUGGAAAGUUUUUCGGUACGAGAUGGGCCCGCGGCCUAUCAGCUUGUUGGUGGGGUAAUGGCCUACCAAGGCGACGACGGGUAGCCGGCCUGAGAGGGCGACCGGCCACACUGGGACUGAGACACGGCCCAGACUCCUACGGGAGGCAGCAGUGGGGAAUAUUGCACAAUGGGCGCAAGCCUGAUGCAGCGACGCCGCGUGAGGGAUGACGGCCUUCGGGUUGUAAACCUCUUUCACCAGGGACGAAGAGUGAUUGACG